GACGAACGCUGGCGGCGUGCUUAACACAUGCAAGUCGAGCGGUAAGGCCCUUUCGGGGGUACACGAGCGGCGAACGGGUGAGUAACACGUGGGUGACCUGCCCUCAGCUCUGGGAUAAGCCUGGGAAACCGGGUCUAAUACUGGAUAUGACUCCAUGACGCAUGUUGUGGGGUGGAAAGCCUUGUGCGGCUGAGGAUGGGCCCGCGGCCUAUCAGCUUGUUGGUGGGGUGANGGCCUACCAAGGCGACGACGGGUAGCCGGCCUGAGAGGGCGACCGGCCACACUGGGACUGAGACACGGCCCAGACUCCUACGGGAGGCAGCAGUGGGGAAUCUUGCGCAAUGGGCGAAAGCCUGACGCAGCGACGCCGCGUGAGGAUGACGGCCU
rnacentral:rRNA from 1 species